AUCCAGUUGACGAGUGCGGAACAGGACGAAACGUGCGUCCUGGAU
rfam:Schistosoma curassoni strain Dakar, Senegal genome assembly, scaffold: SCTD_scaffold0000530